rnacentral:rRNA from 1 species
GCUCGUAGUUGGAUUUCUGGUAUGAUGCACCUUGUCCGCAGCGAAUACGCUUGUGAGUACUGGCGCGCGUCUGCCAUCCUUCUGGGGACCGUCUCUACCUUUCACUAGGCUGGAGUCGUGAUCCAGAUCGUUUACUUUGAAAAAAUUAGAGUGUUCAAAGCAGGCCUUUGCUGUGAAUACAUUAGCAUGGAAUAAUGAUCUAGGACUUCGGUUCUAUUUUGUUGGUUUCUAGCACUGGAGUAAUGAUUGAUAGGGAUAGUUGGGGGUGCUAGUAUUGGGCGGCCAGAGGUGAAAUUCUUGGAUUCGCUCAAGACUAACUUAUGCGAAAGCAUUCACCAAGGAUGUCUUCUUUAAUCAAGAACGAAAGUUGGGGGAUCGAAGAGGAUCAGAUACCCUCGUAGUCUCAAUCAUAAACUAUGCCAACUAGGGAUCGGUGAACUGUUGCAUUUUCGACUUCAUCGGCACCUUAUGAGAAAUCAAAGUCUUUGGGUUCCGGGGGGAGUAUGGUCGCAAGGCUGAAACUUAAAGGAAUUGACGGAAGGGUACCACCAGGAGUGGAGCCUGCGGCUUAAUUUGACUCAACACGGGAAAACUUACCAGGUCCAGACAUAGCUAGGAUUGACAGAUUGAAGAUCUUUCUUGAUUCUAUGGGUGGUGGUGCAUGGCCGU